rnacentral:tRNA from 1 species
UCGGAUAUGGUGUAAUGGUUAACAUUACCGCCUCUCACUAGCCUCGCAUCAUCUGGUCGCGGUAGCUCGGGGUUCGAUUCCCCGUAUCCGAA